rnacentral:rRNA from 1 species
CUUUACUGUAGCCUGGAAUUGGGUUCGGGCUUUGACUGCGCAGGAUAGGUGGGAGACUAUGAGACAUCCCUUGUGGGGGAUGUGGAGUCAUCAGUGAGAUACCACUCUGUCAAGGCUAGAAUUCUAACUCAUUGCCGUGAUCCGGCAUGGGAACAGUUUCAGGUGGGCAGUUUGACUGGGGCGGUCGCCUCCUAAACGAUAACGGAGGCGCACAAAGGUUCCCUCAGGCUGGUUGGAAAUCAGCCGAAGAGUGUAAAGGCACAAGGGAGCUUGACUGUGAGACUGACAAGUCGAGCAGAGUGGAAACACGGUCUUAGUGAUCCGACGGCACUGAGUGGAAGGGCCGUCGCUCAACGGAUAAAAGUUA